GGACUUAAAAAUAACUGGGUAAACUCAUUCUUCGCGUUCGCGAUGAGUCAGGUCUGUAGACCUUCGCGUUCGCGACACUGGGCUCGCGUUCGCGAUACUUUAGCACCUCGAGCCCUCGCAUUCAUAGGCCAGUGGCCGCGUUCGCGUAGAACAAACUGGUGGCUCCUCCCCCUGCACCCUACGCGUUCGCGAGUUGAAGGACGCGUUCGCGAAGGGUCUCCCCCCUGAGCUUCGCGUUCGCGUCUCAUCCUCCGCGUUCGCGAAGAAGUCAAAAUGGCACCUGGGAUCCUUGCCUUACGCGUUCACGAAAGGGACCAUGCUGUCACACCUCCUUUUUACCUACAUCCCCGUAAGAGGGGUAUAUAGGAGUUUUUUCCAACUUAAAGUGACAAUCGAAACGGGAUCAUUUUAUCAAAAAUUCAGAGUCGCCACUUGGGAUAAUUUUAUGGUGUCCCAAGUCACCGGUUUGAAUCCCGAAUCGAGGAAAAGAUUGACUCUGUAUUACAGUCCACGAACACAGAAAUCCGGAUAAGGAAUUCUGUUAACCCGGGUGAAGGUGUUAGGCAUUUCCGAGUUCUGUGGUUCUAGCACGGUCGCUCAACUAUUAUUAUCGGCAUAAUUAUCUAAUUUUAAAACAUUUUGAACCUAUAUGCAUUUUAACUUGAAACCGCUUUUAAUUCAUUUUAAGAAGAUUCCAACGUUAUACAAAACACGCCUUUGGAUCACGCCAUAUGAAAUGCACCCGUGAUCCGCGAGAUAUUUUAUUUAAUGUUGUCAAGAUUUGGAUUUGGGUCACAUGAAAUGCACACCCGAGUUUAAGGAAGUUAAUUAUUUAAAAAAAUGCGCCUAAAAUGACUGCGCAUUUUUAACUUUGCGAGGGCCAUGGAAAAUUCGCUAAAUGGUGCACCUCAAUUUCUAAAGAGCAAACACAUUAACUAAAUGAGGGCCGCACAUUUGAAAUUUUAUUUGGCGCGGCGCACCUCAAUUCCAAUUUUAAAAGGUACUUCAAACUAAAUUUCGGAGGGCCAUAAACUAUUUGUGUUAUCUGGUAUGACUCACCUCCACUAACUAAUGGGCCCAAAUGAUUACUUAACAAGGCUAGGAGCAUUCUUAUUUUUCUAUUUUUAUUAAAUGUUCAACUAAAUUCUAGUAACCAAUGGAUUGACAAGGAAUAAAAAACUAAACAUUUCUAAUAUUGAAAGGGCCUAAAACCGCGUCAGGCCCCAUUAGAAAGGGCAUAAUUGCUUAUGAUAAUUAUAUAGGGGCAGCUGGCCCAACGGAAAGCCCAGAUCGAGAACACAGGAAAAGCAAGCGAAGGAUCGAAUCUCAUUAUGUUAAGGCUGAUAGCCAAUCUCGAUUCCAAGUACAGCCACAACCCUCUCACGAAUUAUUUCACUAGUUAACAACAUAAAAUCAAUGAUCACAACCCAUGUGUAUUUUAAUUCGGAUCAAUACCUUUAAUAGACCAUAAACUUGAACUUUUCCAAAGGCAAGCAAAAAAGUAAUGAGUUAAACUAAAUAUCUGAAAAUUCUCAAGUCUGCUUCAAACUCAAACUCCAUUUGAAAAUCCUUUUAAAAUUCAACAUGUCUUUACAUGAACAAGGGGGAAAACUAAGUUUCAAAUUCCUGAAAGUUAGUAGGACUGUAUUCCUGCUAUAUAUAAGCGAAUCCAGAACACAUAGUUAAUCGAAAGACGGCUGAAACUAGAUUCAUUGGGCUAAUAGCAUGAAUAAGUGAAUUGAUAAGCAUAGGACUUAUAGCUAUGAAAAUGCACUCCAUACAGCCAGACUCACACUCAACCCAACGGAAUCACGGUCCUUAACUAGCACACAUUAUAUAAAAUCAUGAUUGAGUGCAAAGUCUAAACUACUGAUGACUAAACAAGUUGUUUCCCCUCAAUUUUCAUGACACUACCCAAUUAAAUAUAAUUGCAAAGCUUCUUAUCCAAACCAGAACUUAACUGGACAAUAAACCACAUCAGGCUACUAAAAGAAACACAAUAUCCAAAAGCAAUACAGAUGAAUCACAAAUAAGCUGAUACUACACUUCAAACUACUGCUUUUCAUUUCAUUCUGCAAAUCCAACUUCACAAACAAUAGAGCUUAAAUGUGUACCUGGAAAUUGAAACAGGAAAAGAAAAAGUGAGGGGUCAACGGAGUAGCAGCAGAGAAGAAUCCAGAUGCAGUCAAUGUAACAGUGCCCAGAAAUCAGCAACUCAAACCAGUAAAAUGAGCCAGACAACAGUGGUUUCAAACCAGAAACCAAACGACAAAACAACUUUCAAACCAUUUCCAACCCAAAAUAGACCCCAGGUUUAUUUCAGAACUUCAAAACCCCAAGCAUUGCAAGAAAACUUCAAUGUAACAGUGUUUUUUUUUUCUUUUUUGUGUUUUUCUUCUAAUUGUUCAUUCUUUUCAGUUUUUUCUCUUUUUGUUUUGUGUUUUCAGCCGUUUUCUUUUUUUCCAAAUCUUUCUUCUCCUCCCCUCAAUUCUUUUAGAAAGUGAGACUUUAUAGAGGGAUUAGUAGGGCAUAAAAAAGGUUUCAGAAAUUUCUUUUCAAUCCCUGCUCAAUUUUCAUUUAUGCUUAAAGGACCUCAGCUCAAAACUCUAAUUUCAUGCUAGUCUCCCCAGUCAGCUUCUAUUUCUGUUACCAAAAGAUUUCCCUAAGUAGACUACCCAAAUUAUCCCUCAAGCCCCUGAAUAUUACUAUUGAAACCAAAACCUAAAAUGGGUCAAAACUGUCCCAAGGCUGAAUUAAUCCCAAGCCCAACCCCAAACCAUGAGCCAGUAUAGACAGCCCAAACCAAAAGAGUUCUCAAACUCUGAACCCAAUAGAACUCUACCAAAUGGACCAAGCUACUGAAUUCAGCAGAAACAAAAGAAUUUUCCGAGAAGCUCGAAAAAUAAUUUUUAGCAAAUAAACGACUAAGUAAACUUAUACUACCAUAAUGCUAAUCCGUCUUACUGAUUUUAGAAUCAAACUAAAGCUAAAGAAGAAAUGAAAAUCAGAAUCAAAGCCUCAAAUAUUAACUAGAAUAAGAAGGGAAAGAAUGGAAGGGGGCUGUUUAGAACCUGAAGCAGGCGAAAAGAACCGGAACAAGACGAAUACCUCGACGGCCACAAAGCUUGAUAGACUUCAAACGAUUCCGACUCGGCUCGAAACUAGUAUUAGUCGUGUGUUCCUUUUGAGAGCAAACGAGCUAUACUCGUUUCGAACCCAGCCAUUCAUCAGGACUUGAGGGCUCGAGAGACUUUCUUCUCCUUCAAUCUCAGAUUUGAAAACAGUCCGAUUUGGCAGGGGUUUUGGGAAAAAUGGUGAUGGAAUAGGGUGCAGGAAGGGGUGAUGAUUGCAUGACCAAUUUCUGGUGGUGAUUGGAGCUAUAUCGCCGGCAACCAUGGCUGAUUCGCUCAAGGGUGGCGUUGUUUGGUGGGGGAGAUGAGAGACAAGAUUGUUUUAGUCUUAGGUUCAAUUGGGGAAUUCGGACAAUCUUUUGCAAAUGGGGGAAGUGUUGAUAACCGUUAGAUGAGAUGAGAUAGAGGUUGAUU
rnacentral:lncRNA from 1 species